CUAAGGAGUCCUUUCCGUCCGGCGUGACCAACUUGGUCGCUCCGGAUAUGGACACCCAGUUGAUGCACUCCCUGGUAUCGGAUCCCUCGAACGACCACGUCGAUCGAGCCCGGUACUCGUCCUCUCUUCCGUUGUGAAGGUUUGCUGCCGCCCCCUCAGAGCGGGACCAGCUCCUUCCCGGCUCGUGUGCCGGCACUGCCCCUUGAGAAUUUCAUAGCGAGCACGAGCAUCUUUGUUAGUGAAAGA
rnacentral:misc_RNA from 1 species